GAUCAAGAAAAACUGAAAACAGUUGUGCUGCCUAAUACUUUUGUGAAAAUAUAAAUCUUCUAGUCCAGUACACAGAGGCCUGCUGACAGAGGGACUGAAGAGGUUCUCGAAGGGUGGAAGCUUCCACACGACUGCUGGACAGCACUCCCAAAAACUCAGUGUGUUUUUCAGUCUGAUUUCCCACCACCCAGACCUGAUGAACCUGUGAGAAUCAUCACUUAUCUCUCUGUAUAUCGUCGCCGAGUAAAUUAUCCUCUAAUGGUGUGA